rnacentral:misc_RNA from 1 species
UCCAGCUUAUCGCUGGCGGUCUCCUGCGAGUUCCGCCUUUCGGCAUGGCAACACAGGACAAGGGUUGCGCUCGUUGCGGGACUUAACCCAACAUCUCACGACACGAGCUGACGACAGCCAUGCAGCACCUCGACUCCCGUCCCUUGCGGGAAAAGGAUGUUUCCACCCUCGUUCGUGAGCCGUUCGAGCCCAGGUAAGGUUCUUCGCGUUGCGUCGAAUUGAACCACAUGCUCCACCGCUUGUGCGGGCCCCCGUCAAUUCCUUUGAGUUUCAGCCUUGCGACUGUACUCCCCAGGCGGCAUAUUUAACGCGUUAGCUCCGGCACGGAUGAACUGAAUCACCCACACCAAAUAUGCAUCGUUUAGGGCGUGGACUAC